rnacentral:rRNA from 1 species
UACAGAGGUCUCAAGCGUUGUUCGGAUUCAUUGGGCGUAAAGGGUGCGUAGGCGGCGCGGUAAGUCGGGUGUGAAAUCUCGGGGCUUAACUCCGAAACUGCAUUCGAUACUGCCGUGCUUGAGGACUGGAGAGGAGACUGGAAUUUACGGUGUAGCGGUGAAAUGCGUAGAUAUCGUAAGGAAGACCAGUGGCGAAGGCGGGUCUCUGGACAGUUCCUGACGCUGAGCACGAAGGCCAGGGGAGCAAACGGG